UUUGUCUCAGUUCUCUGUAAUGAAGGUGAAAGUGAAAAUAGUUUUCGACUCUCAGACAGAGUCACUGCACCAUUACACUUCCUGCUGUAACGGACUGAUACAGGAGGAAUAUAUGUGUAUAUGUAGACAGGGGACAUUUUAAACACGGUGUUUAAACACUAAUGAGUUAAAUACCGAAUAUGUGGCGCUCUGAAAUGUGGAAACACUUCAGUUAAAGUAUCAGAUGUGUUUAUAUGAGGAAUAGGAAAGGAUUUUAUUAGUCUGAAUCUACAGAAACUUAUAUUUCAAGAAAAGAACAGAGGAGAUUACAGUAAAGAUGUUUAGGGUAAGUAAAUAACUCGACUUCACACUAAUAGUAAAAGCUGAUAUUUUAUUAACUUAUCACAUAUAUUACAUUUUAAUCCAGGAAUCAAAUAGAAACAUAAAGAUGAUUUUCAGAUCAUGUUUAUGUGAAGGAGUCUGAUCAGUAAGUGAGAUUCCACUUCCAUCAGUCAGCUUCUUUCCCACAAUGCACCUGUGUGUAACCUCACUGCAGUGUAAUAAUGUACAGAGACGUUUACUGUGUCGAGUAAAAGACACAACAAAGACACAGCAUAUAACACACACCACUGACAGACUCCAUCAGAAUGUUACACAAUAAACAUAAAUCACAGCUUUAACAGUUUUCAGUGUUUGUAGACAGAAUAAUUGUCAUCAGUCGCUCUGCGUAACAAUCACACCAUGUUUUG